rnacentral:rRNA from 1 species
ACGGAGGGUGCAAGCGUUAUUCGGAAUUACUGGGCGUAAAGCGCGUGUAGGCGGUCCUGCAAGUCUGAUGUGAAAGCCCCGGGCUUAACCCGGGAAGUGCAUUGGAAACUGCAGGUCUUGAGUACUGGAGAGGAUGGGGGAAUUCCCGGUGGGGGGGUGUCUGGGGGAGAGGUCGGGAGGAAGAUCAGAAGCGAGGGCGGCAAACAGGAUUGUAACCGCCGCUGUGACGUCAAAGCGUGGGGAGGGAAGGG